rnacentral:tRNA from 1 species
GCGGCGGUUCCCGAGAUAGGAUACGGGCUGUGGCUGCUGACCACAAGAACACCUCCCCAGGUUGCGCGGGUUCGAGUCCCGCCCGCCGCA